GUAUAGCUUAAAUUGUCAUAAGAAAUUUUUCAUUUAUUGUUUACGUGCUUUGUGUGAUUUUUAUUCGUUUUUCUCAAGUGAGUUAGUUUAAUGCAAUAAUUCUUCUUGAAAACUGUGUGAGGUUAUGUUUUGGUGUUUAUUUUCUGUUAAUGAACUAAUUAUUAUUUAUGUGUUGUUCACA
rnacentral:lncRNA from 1 species